rnacentral:rRNA from 1 species
UUCGGUGGUCAUAGCGUGAGGGAAACGCCCGGUCUCAUUCCGAACCCGGAAGCUAAGCCUUUCAGCGCCGAUGGUACUGCAUGCGGGAGCGUGUGGGAGAGUAGGACACCGCCGAAC